CUGACAAGCAAAGUUUAUUCCUCUCACCCUCAGGUUUGGGUUUGCCAAGUACUUUGAUGACCUCAGCAUUUGUAGGAUUCUGACCCAGCGCCCUCAUGACAUCCCCACACUGGGCGACCAGAGGGAAUUACAGUGAAACCCCAUCCGUUUUGUCUACAGGACAGAGAGACCCACUCAGACAAGAGGACAGAAAUGCUAAUCUGUAAUAUGGGAUACAUCGGCAUGGAAGGCUGUAUGACCACAUGGAGGCUCUUUCAUACUGGCCUCAGACAAGCUUCCACUCUCCAGACCCCAUUUCUGACCAUCAGGAGGGGGUGCUGGCUUUGCUGCCUCCUUCUUCAGUUCAGCUUUUUUAGGAGCCAUUCUUCCACCAAGAUGACGAGCAGGAGGGUGUGAGAGGGAAAACAGGGAUGAGAAUGAACAUUGAGAGGAUUUAUACCCUGCGCAACGCUCCCC